rnacentral:rRNA from 1 species
CCUACGGGAGGCAGCAGUAGGGAAUUUUCGGCAAUGGGGGGAACCCUGACCGAGCAACGCCGCGUGAACGAAGAAGUUAUUCGUAAUGUAAAGUUCUUUUAACAGGGAAGAAAGAGAAAUUUGACGGUACCUGAAGAAUAAGCUCCGGCUAACUACGUGCCAGCAGCCGCGGUAAACCGUAGGGAUAGAGCGUUAUCCGGAUUUAUUGGGUUUAAAGGGUGGGCGGGCGGCUUGUUAAGUCAGCGGUAAAAGCCCGGGGCUCAACCCCGACGAGCCGGUGAAACUGGAGGGCUGGAGUUGGAGAGAGGUAGGCGGAAUGCGCGGUGUAGCGGUGAAAUGCUUAGAUAUCGCGCAGAACCCCGAUUGCGAAGGCAGCGUACCGGCUCCACACUGACGCUGAGGCACGAAAGCGUGGGGAUCGAACAGGAUUAGAUACCCUUGUAGUC